rnacentral:rRNA from 1 species
AGCUGAUCACUGGGUUUAAAGCGUGCGCAGGCGGUUUUGUAAGACAGUGGUGAAAUCCCCGGGCUCAACCUGGGAACUGCCAUUGUGACUGCAAGGCUAGAGUGCGGCAGAGGGGGAUGGAAUUCCGCGUGUAGCAGUGAAAUGCGUAGAUAUGCGGAGGAACACCGAUGGCGAAGGCAAUCCCCUGGGCCUGCACUGACGCUCAUGCACGAAAGCGUGGGGAGCAAACA